rnacentral:rRNA from 1 species
UACGGAGGGUGCGAGCGUUGUCCGGAAUCACUGGGCGUAAAGGGCGCGUAGGUGGCGCGGCAAGUCAGCGGUGAAAGCCCGAGGCUCAACUUCGGGUCGGCCGUUGAUACUGCUGUGCUUGAGCACUGUAGAGGCAGGUGGAAUUCCGGGUGUAGCGGUGGAAUGCGUAGAGAUCCGGAAGAACACCGGUGGCGAAGGCGGCCUGCUGGGCAGUGCUGACACUGAGGCGCGACAGCGUGGGGAGCAAACAGG